rnacentral:tRNA from 2 species
GGCCCCAUGGUCAAGCGGUUAAGACAUCGCCCUUUCACGGCGGUAACAGGAGUUCGAUUCUCCUUGGGGUCACCA